ensembl:lncRNA
CUCUCUUGCCACACACACAAGGGAGCUCAGAGCCCUCUUCUAACAAAUGGCACCCGAACAGGGAUAAGAAAGGUAGACCAGUCAGGAGAUGUCUGAGAGGACUGCCAGGCAGAGAGGCCCUAUCUUAAGAGAGCUGAAAGAACCUCUGGCAAGAGAGCGGAAAGAAGCUCUAGAAAAAGAGCUGAAAGAAGCCCUACGGAGACACAGGCUGAAAGAAGCCCUGUCCUGCUGAAAGAAGCACAAGACUGAGAGAAGUCUUACCGUCCUCAGCCGACUGCCGUUCAUUCAACAAAGCUGGUGAUUGAAAAUGCGAACGCUGACUACCAAGAGGUGCUGCGUGCUGUAAAGAAUCCCACUACUGAAGAAUUUGCACAACAAAAGGCGCUGGAGUGGAAGCUAUCGGAGCUCAGCAACUCGAAGCAAGGCUUGCAGACCCUGAGCCUAUGGCUCAUUCACCACCGCAAGAGAAGAAGGAUCAAACCUCCAGGCUUGGUGGUUUGCGUGUGGGAGCAGGAGCUACGAAAGCUGCUGCUGAGACGUAUGCUUGUUUGGACUCGCACUCAUUUCAGUUGUUGACAUUGUUGCAGUGUAUUUUUCUAAACCUUUAGCUGUUGUAGCAGUUGUUAAAUGCUCCAGAAAAUUCUAAGAUAGGCCUAACAACGUUGAAAGUAUGUUUGAAAGUUGUGCUAUGUCUGCAUUCUAAAUUAGAAAACAGUAUUUUCUGUAAAAUUACGUGUGUUCAUGUGCAGUAGAUUGGCAAUGUAGGAAGCUUUCUCAUAUUUGGUUGUAUAAUACAACUUGAUUGACUGAAUAUCUUCUGGUGUUUAAGAAUGUAAUGUGUAUAUUUACAACUGUAUAUUGUUGGAAAUAUCCAAAUAAUUUUGUCAGGACGGUAUCUCUGAUAAAGCAGAUUUUAUUCGCGAUUGCAAUGGUGGGAGUCCCACAAGCAGGAGAGCACGCUUAUGGGCAUGGAUGUCAGCUUUUGUACCUUGUUUCUCCCCCCCCCCGCCCCUCCUUGCCUCUCCUGUUUCCCCACUGGCUGGGUACUCCAGGUUCACAAUCUUAUCAAAAGGUUUACAUUUGUUAAUUACUUGUUAAAUCGUGUGUUAUCUGGUGUCAGUCAGUAGCAGUCCUGUUGUCUCCAAGAUGUUUUGGUACCCUUCUCAUUCGUACUGAUUUUCUUCAGAGUCUUAGAUAAAGACAAAGAGUACGGAAGGGGGGGUGGAGGGGGGUGCCAGAUCUUCCUCAAUACAUUCUUCAGGCACUCCCUAAGGCAUGUCACGAGUUGUCCUUUUAAUUUGUGCAGGAUAUUCUUGCAAUGUGUGUGACAUAUAUUAUUUUAUGCUGGCUAUAUGUAAGUUGUUACUAGCUUAUGUAUGUAUGCAUAUAUUAUUUUACUUAUAUACUGAGUAUACAUUGUUGGGGAAGGUUUAUCUAGAGGAUGAGCAAUGAAAACUAUCAGAGAACCCUGAUAAAGUAGAAAAACCCCUGAAAAGAGUUAUUAAUUGUAAUAAAGAACCCAAAUGGUAGCAGAGGUCAUGAAAUUAACAAAAUUCUUAUCUUGUUUCUGAUGCAGAAACAACAUUCAAUUCCCACAAUAUGUUACCUGCACCUGCCUGGCUUUCAUAAUUCUGGUUCUGAAUAUAUAGUUGCAGUGAUUUAAAUAAUAAUAAUAAUAAUAAUAGAUUUUCCUAUUAAAAAAAAAAAAACAAAAACAACCAAAUGAAAAGCCAAAAAUAAACAAAAAAUAGUUGUAUUGCAUGCGCAAGAACUCAGAGCCCUCUUGCAUCAGGUGGCUGGAAAUGCUUCCUGUGACACAUACCACCAAACAAAAAACUAUCUUGGGCCUUGAAAAGUAAGUCUUGUGGUAAUAUGGGAUUCCAGGAAGAUCUGAAUUGAAAAAACUGAGUCAGAUAACAGGACCCAUUUGCAAAACCAUCUCAGAAAAACUUAGGUUGAAAAGCAUGGCACUGAGUAAUUAUAUCACAGACCCUAUCAUACACCAACCUCGGGAAAAUCAAAUGAUGCAAUGGACUGUUAAAGACUAUACUGAGAUCCGUGGGUGCUGGGACAUUCAAAUAGUAGGAUACACAUUUAGUAAAAGCCAUCUGGUUAGUCAAUACUAGGGACUCUGCCAGUAUAGCUGGUUCUGUGCAAUCAAAUCUCUUAUGUACCAUAGAAGGAGAAGAAGCCCCUCUGGCGCACAUGAAAAACAUGCAGGGCAAGACAGUCUGGGUUAUUCCUGCCUCAGGCACAGGCAAGACUAUUCAGGGGAUUGCUUUCACUCAAGGACAUGAGUGUAGUUGGUGGAUAUACGGCAGAAUGUAUGAAUUUGGUAUGUACUUAUCGGGGAAGUACAUGCUCUGAAAGACUGUUCUGACAGAUGGAACCCAAAGUCAUAGACUAAAUUAACUCCAUGGACAAUUUAGAGGGAUGGCCCAUAAACUAUGGAAAUGAUAUGUGUGUAUAUCAAAAAGUAGGACAACUGAUAAUUAUUAAUUGGGAUGUAUGAGAAUGUAUGGGAUCUGAGCAUAAUAUAGAUGGCAUGAAAUAAGGAGUAUAUAUUGUUCCAGUUUUGAGUGGGACAGAGUUGAUUUUCUUCAUAGGGUCUGUUAUGAUGCUAUGUUUUUGCUAUAGGAGAAAACUGAUAGCAUACCUAUGUUUUAGUUCUUGCCAAGCUGUGCUGCACAGAGCCAAGGACAUUUCAGUUCCUCAUGCUAUCCUGCCAGUGAGGGGCCUGGGAGCGCACAAGGAUCUGGGAGGGGACAGAAGGACAACUGAUCUAAACUGGAUGAAGAGAUAUACUAUACCACAAGAUGUCAUGUGAAAAGAAUAAAACUGUGGCUAGUUGACCAAGGGGACGAACAUAGUUUGGGAAGUGGAUGCUUAUCAGAUAUCAAGUGGUGGCCAAGUUUGCUGUGCAUCACUUGUUUUAUGUUUUGUGUUUUAUGUUAUGUGUUACAUGUAUGACAUAUAUGGAAAUAUAUGGAAAUAUAUUUGUAUACAUAUCAAAUAUACAUAUGGAAAUAUAUCCAUAUGCAUAUGGAAAUAUAUUUGUAUACAUGUCCAUAUAUGUAAGACAUACAUGGAAAUAUAGCAACGAUGAUCCAAAAGUAAUGCCUCCUAUUUUAUUAUAUUAGCCCAUAAUGUCAAAAGUAGAUUUUGGUGCCGUGCCAGUAAAGGAUGAACCUUUCUGCCAAUACUCCACUACAUUUUGUUGCUGUGCAACAGAUGGCAGCAGAGAGUCUUUCAAAAUGGCAUCUACAUGGAAGUACAGAUGAAGAAAAGGUGUAUCAUUGAAUUCCUCCAUGCAGAAAAAAAUUGCAUCCAUUGACAUUCACUGUUGCUUACUGAAGAUUUAUGAAGACCAAACAGAGAAUGUGAGCACAGUGAGGUGGUGGGUGGUGGGUUUUAUCAGUGGUAACCGAGACAGUGUGUCACCUCUACUGGUGUAGAUUUUCACAGGUACACUAUGCAGGUUCUUGUUCACUGCUGGUGUAAAGGCAUGGCUAAUGGUAUUGACUAUGUUGAAAAGCAGUUUUUUGUUUGAGAUUUUUUUAUAUCAAAUAGUAUUACUGUCCUCCCUAGAGUUGUAGUCACUUCCAGGAAAAUAAAUAGAACGUAUUAUUUUC